ACUAACUAGGAUUCCCCCAGUAACUGCGAGUGAAGAGGGAAGAGCUCAUCAUUGGAAUCUGGCGGCGUUGCGCUGUCCGAGUUGUAGAUGAGGAGUAGUCCAUCUGGACUGCAUGGCGUCCAAGUACAAUAGGCCGUCAGUGGGACAUCAUAGAGGGUGACAAUCCCGUCCUUGAUGCCAAUGUGCAAGUCCGUUACGAUGGCUAUCUCAGAGAGUCGAGCAGUUUGGGAUUUGCUGCUUAAACAUGGGAGGUAGAUUCCUUCUAAAGCUAAAUACAGGCGAGAGACCGAUAGAGAACAAGUACCGCAAGGGAAAGAUGAAAUAGAACUCUGUGAAGGGAGUCAAAAGGCGUGAAAUUGUUGCGAGAGAAGCGAUUCAAGUCAGCGUAGCUAGGCCCAUCAAGCCUCUUCGCUUUGGACUAGCUUUGCCAGCGGUCUUGUCCCUUAGAGACUUGACUUUUUUUU
rnacentral:rRNA from 1 species